AUUGAACGCUGGCGGCAGGCUUAACACAUGCAAGUCGAGCGGAUGAAGGGAGCUUGCUCCUGGAUUCAGCGGCGGACGGGUGAGUAAUGCCUAGGAAUCUGCCUGGUAGUGGGGGAUAACGUCCGGAAACGGGCGCUAAUACCGCAUACGUCCUGAGGGAGAAAGUGGGUGAUCUUCGGACCUCACGCUAUCAGAUGAGCCUAGGUCGGAUUAGCUAGUUGGUGGGGUAAAGGCCUACCAAGGCGACGAUCCGUAACUGGUCUGAGAGGAUGAUCAGUCACACUGGAACUGAGACACGGUCCAGACUCCUACAGGAGGCAGCAGUGGGGAAUAUUGGACAAUGGGCGAAAGCCUGAUCCAGCCAUGCCGCGUGUGUGAAGAAGGUCUUCGGAUUGGAAAGCACUUUAAGUUGGGAGGAAGGGCAGUAAGUUAAUACCUUGCUGUUUUGACGUUACCAACAGAAUAAGCACCGGCUAACUUCGUG
rnacentral:rRNA from 1 species